UACGUAGGUGACAAGCGUUGUCCGGAUUUACUGGGCGUAAAGAGCGCGCAGGCGGUCGAUCAAGUCGAGUGUGAAAGCCCCCGGCUCAACUGGGGAGGGUCAUUCGAUACUGAUCGACUCGAAGGCAGGAGAGGGUAGUGGAAUUCCCGGUGUAGUGGUGAAAUGCGCAGAUAUCGGGAGGAACACCGGUGGCGAAGGCGGUUCUCUGGGCCUUACCUGACGCUGAGGAGCGAAAGCGUGGGGAGCGAACAGG
rnacentral:rRNA from 1 species